GCAUGCUUUUUGAGAAAUGUAUCAUCUAGGAAUAAAAUCAAUUGAAGUAUUGGUAAUUAAAUUGUAAUUCCAUGAAGGAAGGAAGUGGUGCAAAAGAUGAAGCUAACUAUUCCUGUUUUUCUCUUUAAGAGUCUACAAUUCAUAAUGGAGCUACUGUACUGGCUAUUGGAAAGAGGAGAUUCUGAAGAUAAGGAGGUAAAACCUGUUUAGAAAUUAAAAAUGAGUUACGAUUUAAAGAAAAUUCAGAUGACUCAUUGUGAGUGCUAGUUCUCUUGUAGGAUGCCACUGGAAAUGUUGAAAUGAAAAAUAUUCAGCCGUCGGUCUUUGAAAUUUCCUGUGAUGUGUUUCAAUCUAGAUGCAAAGAACAUGGAAAAAUCAAAGUGCUCGAGUGGUUUAAAUACGUUUUGGAUGUUCCUGUUUAUAGACUAUAAUACUUUUCCAAUUAAAAUCCUCAGUUGUCAUGC
rnacentral:lncRNA from 1 species